CAGGCGUUAGAACCACUGAGCUAAAUCCCUGGCCUGUUGGUGUUUAACUGUUAGACUCUGGCAAUAGACCAGUGCUUCUUGGAUGCACCAUAAACAAAGAAGUGAGUCAGCUUGAAGGACAGUGACUCCAGGCCUGAAGAAUGUAUCUGAAAUUGGCUAUGUCUGCUGAGCUAACAUGCUGUCUGACAUUUUUCGAUAUAAGUCAUGAACCUCA